rnacentral:rRNA from 1 species
GCUUGUCUCAAAGAUUAAGCCAUGCAUGUCUAAGUAUAAAUGAUUUUAUAUUUGAAACUGCGAAUGGCUCAUUAUAUCAGUUAUAGUUUAUUUGAUGGUUCAAUACUAUUUGGAUAACCGUAGUAAUUCUAGAGCUAAUACAUGCAUUAAUCCCCGAAUUCAAGGGGUGUAUUUAUUAGAUGGAAACCAAUGCGGGGCAACCCGGAAUAUGGUGAAUCAUAAUAACUUUCGGAUCGUAUCGCAAGAUCGAUGCAUCAUUCAAGUUUCUGCCCUAUCAGCUUUGGAUGGUAGGGUAUUGGCCUACCAUGGCUUUAACGGGUAACGGAGAAUUAGGGUUCGAUUCCGGAGAGGGAGCCUGAGAAACGGCUACCACAUCCAAGGAAGGCAGCAGG